rnacentral:rRNA from 1 species
CGAAGGGGGCUAGCGUUGUUCGGAAUUACUGGGCGUAAAGCGUACGUAGGCGGAUUGUUAAGUGAGGGGUGAAAUCCCGAGGCUCAACCUCGGAACUGCCUUUCAUACUGGCAAUCUUGAGUCCGGGAGAGGUGAGUGGAACUCCUAGUGUAGAGGUGAAAUUCGUAGAUAUUAGGAAGAACACCAGUGGCGAAGGCGGCUCACUGGCCCGGAACUGACGCUGAGGUACGAAAGCGUGGGGAGCAAACAGGAUUAGAUACCCUGGUAGUCCACGCCGUAAACGAUGGAUGCUAGCCGUCGGGGAGCUUGCUCUUCGGUGGCGCAGCUAACGCAUUAAGCAUCCCGCCUGGGGAGUACGGUCGCAAGAUUA